rnacentral:rRNA from 1 species
UACGAAGGGGGCUAGCGUUGUUCGGAAUUACUGGGCGUAAAGCGCGUGUAGGCUGGUUGUUCAAGUCAGGUGUGAAAGCCUUGAGCUCAACUCAAGAAAUGCACUUGAUACUGGAUGACUAGAGGACCGGAGAGGAUAGUGGAAUUCCCAAGUGUAGUGGUGAAAUACGUAGAGAUUGGGAAGAACACCAGUGGCGAAGGCGGCUAUCUGGACGGUUUCUGACGCUAAGACGCGAAAGCGUGGGGAGCAAACAGG